AUUGAACGCUGGCGGCAGGCCUAACACAUGCAAGUCGAGCGGAUGAAGGGAGCUUGCUCCUGGAUUCAGCGGCGGACGGGUGAGUAAUGCCUAGGAAUCUGCCUGGUAGUGGGGGAUAACGUCCGGAAACGGGCGCUAAUACCGCAUACGUCCAGAGGGAGAAAGUGGGGGAUCUUCGGACCUCACGCUAUCAGAUGAGCCUAGGUCGGAUUAGCUAGUUGGUGGGGUAAAGGCCUACCAAGGCGACGAUCCGUAACUGGUCUGAGAGGAUGAUCAGUCACACUGGAACUGAGACACGGUCCAGACUCCUACGGGAGGCAGCAGUGGGGAAUAUUGGACAAUGGGCGAAAGCCUGAUCCAGCCAUGCCGCGUGUGUGAAGAAGGUCUUCGGAUUGUAAAGCACUUUUAGUUGGGAGGAAGGGCAGUAAGUUAAUACCUUGCUGUUUUGACGGUACCAACAGAAUAAGCACCGGCUAACUUCGUG
rnacentral:rRNA from 1 species